CACGCCGCGUGUGUGAUGAAGGGUUUCGGCUCGUAAAACACUGUUGUAAGAGAAGAAUAGCAUUGAGAGUAACUGCUCAGUGUCUGACGGUAUCUUACCAGAAAGGAACGGCUAAAUACGUGCCAGCAGCCGCGGUAAU
rnacentral:rRNA from 1 species